rnacentral:rRNA from 1 species
UACAGAGACUGCGAGCGUUAUUCGGAUUCACUGGGCGUAAAGGGUGCGCAGGCGGCCGUGUGUGUGAGGCGUGAAAGCCUGGAGCUUAACUCCAGAAUUGCACCUCAAACUACAUGGCUAGAGCAUUGGAGAGGGUAGCGGAAUUCACGGUGUAGCAGUGAAAUGCGUAGAUAUCUGGAGGAACACCGGUGGCGAAGGCGGCAUCCUGGACCGGUAUUGACGCUGAGGCGCGAAAGCUAGGGGAGCAAACGGG